AUGCUGAAGACGCGGAUGCGCAAGUGGCCGGCGAUCUGGUGGCACACCCCCGUGCAGUAGCGCGUCAGGUCCACCAGGGAGAGCACCUGAGGAGUUAGUUGUUGGCGUUAGAGCAACGCAAGACAAGGAACUGACCGUGGCGAUCCAGAGGACGACGUACUCGUCGACGAAGCUGUUGAAGUAUUGGUUGAGGAAGAGGAGGCCCGGGCCGAUGAAGGCCGUGUCCGGCAGGUGGAGCUCACUCUUGGUCAUGUGCGCCACCUGCGUCGAGCAAAAACCCUUUGUCGACAUUCCACACGGCGUAGACAUUUCAAGAGCAACUUACCACAAGCUUGUUGGAGAUCUUGGCGAUGACCAUGCCGAAGGCGAGAAGGUAAAGGCAGGGGUGGUGCUCAAAUAGCUGACUGGAUGACUUCUUGAAGAUGAUGAAGGCCAGCGUGAGGAUGAGGCCGAUGUGCAAGCCGGGACUCAGCACGCUGGUGUCCUGCGCAGCGUCAACGGUUAUAUGGCGCCACAUCACCACGCUAUUCGGCAGGGCUUACCGCCACAGUGGAGCCAUUUUUACCCACGCCGCCAUUGAGAAUGACGUGGAAGUAGUUGUGGCAGGAGUAGAGGGCCCCGCCGAUGAUGCCCAUGAUGGGGAAGAUGUAGAGUUGCAGUCCAAUGAGGGGCAGCUUGAAAAACAAGACACGGAUUGAAGAGCCGCAAGUGGACAACCGCCAUGCUGCUGAAGGAGUCGGUUCAAGUCACCGUGGUUUGCCAAAGGCUCACCCCACCAAAGGCGGACAUCAGGUACAUGGCGAUGAUGGCAAACUGCACCUCGGUGACAUCCACCCUGCCCAGGAGACAAAGUGGCUGAGGAGGACAAGCGCUAGUUGGCAUGCGCCCAAGUCGGGGGAGGACUCACAGGCCAAAGCGAAGAGUUCCUGACACAUAGGUCUGCCAGUGGGCGCAGAAGAACAUGAACAUCCCGAUGAAGCCGCAGAAGAAUAUCCAGUG